UUCAAAACAAGGCAAAAAAAGACGCCAAUUAUUGAUCAUGUUAAUGUCUGCCUACUUAACUAACAUCUUAAACAACAUGAUAAACAUAGCUAGCGGUGAUUAAAACAUAAUUGUCAAAACAAAACAAAAACAUCAACAAACAGAAAAAUUGUCCGUGAUUUAUUAUUUUUAAAAAUCACACGUCGCCAUAUUCUAACUAUUUGCGUUUUACACGAAUUUGGAUGAAAGCAGCCUUGGCAUGGGGAAAUGCCAAGAAAUUUUCAAAGAUAUCGGAUUUCUCCUUAAGUUUAUAGAAUGUAUCGUCAUUAUCGUUUUGGCAAUAUUUUGGUAUCACUUGUAUGGCGCAACAGUGUACGACCACCAUGCAGUCUAUCGCCUCCUGGGAGGACUCUUCAUAGGCGCAUGCUUUUAUUUCUUUUUCCCAGUUUUCAUCAUGAUGAUCAUGUAUGCUGUAACGAGUUUCCAAGAUCAUAUGUAUGAGUUAAUCAUUUGUAUCUCCGGAGCUAUUUCCGGUGGUAUCGUGGGCAUUGCCUACUUGCUCGAGUGUUUCGUAGGAACAAGACGUACGAAUUACUACGAAGUUCGUCACAACGAUUAUCGUGAUACCUAUCAUGACCGUUACGGUUACCGUGAUGAUGGUUAUGGGCAUGAUGGAUACGGUUCAGGAAGACAUAGUAAUGGUAAUCUCAUUAUCUUGAGUGUGCUUGCAUUCUUGUUGAUGGCGGUGUUUAUCGUUGACGCGAUCAUCAAUGGCGCACAAAAGAAAUGCAAGGCCUGCGGCGGCUAAUCAAAUUCAUUGAAAUUAUUUAUACAUUAAAUUAAAACGAAAUUGUUUGUC